GAUGAACGCUGGCGGCGUGCCUAAUACAUGCAAGUCGAGCGAACAGAUGAGGAGCUUGCUCCUCUGACGUUAGCGGCGGACGGGUGAGUAACACGUGGAUAACCUACCUAUAAGACUGGGAUAACUUCGGGAAACCGGAGCUAAUACCGGAUAAUAUAUUGAACCGCAUGGUUCAAUAGUGAAAGACGGUUUUGCUGUCACUUAUAGAUGGAUCCGCGCCGCAUUAGCUAGUUGGUAAGGUAACGGCUUACCAAGGCAACGAUGCGUAGCCGACCUGAGAGUGUGAUCGGCCACACUGGAACUGAGACACAGUCCAGACUCCUACGGGAGGCAGCAGUAGGGAAUCUUCCGCAAUGGGCGAAAGCCUGACGGAGCAACGCCGCGUGAGUGAUGAAGGUCUUCGGAUCGUAAAACUCUGUUAUAGGGGAAGAACAAAUGUGUAAGUAACUAUGCACGUCUUGACGGUACCUAAUCAGAAAGCCAUGGCUAACUACGUG
rnacentral:rRNA from 1 species